UACGGGAGGCAGCAGUGAGGAAUAUUGGUCAAUGGCCGAGAGGCUGAACCAGCCAUGCCGCGUGCGGGAGGACGGCCCUAUGGGUUGUAAACCGCUUUUUUGUGGGAGCAAUAAGGGUCACGCGUGACCUGAUGAGAGUACCAUGAGAAUAAGCAUCGGCUAACUCCGUGCCAGCAGCCGCGGUAAU
rnacentral:rRNA from 1 species